rnacentral:rRNA from 1 species
AACGAACGCUGGCGGCAGGCCUAACACAUGCAAGUCGAGCGCCCCGCAAGGGGAGCGGCGGACGGGUGAGUAACGCGUGGGAAUAUGCCCUUUGCUACGGAAUAGUCUCGGGAAACUGGGGGUAAUACCGUAUACGCCCUUUGGGGGAAAGAUUUAUCGGCGAAGGAUUAGCCCGCGUUGGAUUAGGUAGUUGGUGGGGUAAUGGCCUACCAAGCCGACGAUCCAUAGCUGGUUUGAGGGGAUGAUCAGCCACACUGGGACUGAGACACGGCCCAGACUCCUACGGGAGGCAGCAGUGGGGAAUCUUAGACAAUGGGGGCAACCCUGAUCGAGCCAUGCCGCGUGAGUGAUGAAGGCCUUAGGGUUGUAAAGCUCUUUCAGCUGGGAAGAUAAUGACGGUACCAGCAGAAGAAGCCCCGGCUAACUCCGUG